GACGAACGCUGGCGGCGUGCUUAACACAUGCAAGUCGAACGGAAAGGCCCUGCUUUUGUGGGGUGCUCGAGUGGCGAACGCGUGAGUAACACGUGAGUAACCUGCCCUUGACUUUGGGAUAACUUCAGGAAACUGGGGCUAAGAUCGGAUAGGAGCUCCUGCUGCGUGGUGGGGGUGGGAAAUUUGCGGCGGGUGGGGAUGGACGGGCGGCUGAUCAGCUUGUUGGUGGGGUAGGUGCUUACCAAGGCUUUGGAGGGUAGCCGGCCUGAGAGGGUGACCGGCCACAAUGGGCCUGAGAGACGGCCCAGAGUCCUACGGGGGGCAGCAGUGGGGAAUAUUGCACAAUGAGCGGAAGCCUGAUACAGCGACGCCGCGUGCGGGAUGACGUCCUUCGGGUUGUAAACCGCUUUAGCCUGUGACGAAGCGUGAGUGACGGUAAUGGGUAAAGAAGCACCGGCUAACUACGUG
rnacentral:rRNA from 1 species